AUAUGGAAUUGUGUAUCGAAUGCUUGCUAACUAUGGUGAACUUGGACUGUAUGGAAUGUUGAUUGAAGGACUGCUAUACCAUGGAUUUAACAUGGCAUGGAAUUGAGAUUUGAUCAUGGAUGUGAUAUCAAGGCAUGCACCAAAAGGAUAUAGGAUUGAAGAUCAAUAUGAGGUGGUGGUGAUUAGGACUUAGGAAUAGGUGGUUGAGUUGACCAAAAAGUCAACAGUUGACCAAAGUUAACUGUAGGUUAGAAUAAGGUUUUUCUUGAUGUAAUUGUAUAAACUUGUACAUUUGAUGACUUGUAAUAUGGAAAAGUUCUUGAAGUGAAUAUAACAUGGAUUUUUA